GAUCAGCUCAGCUCAGUAGAGCAUCCCGAUUUUGAUCGGGAGGGUCCUGGGUUCGAGCCCCAGAGGGAUCA
rnacentral:tRNA from 1 species